CUCAGAUACAACUGGACGAGGAAGUGAGGAGGAUGUUAACUAUGGGAUUAAAAUCAGAUGAGUGAAGAAGUGCAACUAGAGUCUUAUGUGAUUUCAAGAUAUCAGCUAAGUUGAAGGAAAGUUUUACAAUAUUUUUACUCAACCAGCUUAUGAAGUAUGGCAACAGAUAUUGUGUGAAAUAUAUUCACAAGAUUGGUGUUGUAGAGAUGUUAAGACGGAUGUGCAAAAAAAUAAGAAUAGACAGGAUCAAGAAUGAAUGCAUUCCUAAGAGUGUGGAAAUAGCAACUAUUUGGGAAACGUUAAGGAAAAUUAAGAUGGUUUGGACAUGUGUUUUGUAGACCAGAAAAUGGACCAAUAUAUAAGGUUUGUAGUGAUAAGAGUAAGAAAUUGAGGGAGCAAUCUGGGAUGAUAUGGGG
rnacentral:misc_RNA from 1 species